rnacentral:lncRNA from 1 species
CCCUUUUUCUUUUUCUUUUUCUUCACCUAAAAAGCCCUCUGCUAUCCAUAAGAGUGCCAGCUCGUCCCUCUCAAAUUCGUAGUCUUUUGGAAAUACAGCGCAAUACGCAAAACAUCUCUUCAAAUAAGAAGGGAGAUGGACAUAACUCAAUUUCAAAGCUGGAAGAACCUCAUCGUUUUUUGCCGACGCUACAUCCCAUAUUCUAUUAUUUAAGAUAGCUUCCCAUUCGUCUGGAUUCUCUUUAUUACGUAGGAGACCGCCCAAUAUCUUCGCUGCCAAAGGUAAACCUCUACAUUUUUCAGCUAUUUUCUUGCCUACUAUUUCUAGAUGCGGGUGCCUCUCGAAAUUUCUUGCUUCCAAAGCGUGAUAGGCUAAUAAGCUGGUACAAUUAUCAACAGACAACUCCUUCAAAGGAUAUGGCGAAGCUCCUGUUAUGGAAACCACGGGAUGGUUGCGCGUCGUGAUGAUGAUUUUGCUUCCCUUAGCCCCCGCUUCAAAUGGCUUUAAGAGGGAAGUCCAUUCUCCAUACUUCUCAUUCCAGACAUCAUCUAAGACCACAAGAAACUUCUUUCCCGAUAGAUGAUUUUUCAAUUUAACUUGAUGCUCGUUAAGAUUGUUGCCCUCGCAGGGCGACCCAGUUAUUGAUUGUAAAAUAGUCUUUGUUAUGUCGACAACAUCAAAAACAUCUGAAACACAAACCCAU